ACUCGUGAACUGUGGGGCUUAAUGUCUCCCCCUUCAGAUCCGGGUGCGGGAAUAUCCGCUUAACCGACCCACAAGGAG
rnacentral:ncRNA from 1 species